UACGUAGGCAGCAAGCGUUGUUCGGAGUUACUGGGCGUAAAGAGUGUGUAGGCGGUUCUCUAAGUUCCGUGUGAAAUCCCCCGGCUCAACUGGUAGGGUGCGCGGAAAACUGGAGGGCUGGAGUAUGGGAGAGGAAAGCGGAAUUCCUGGUGUAGCGGUGAAAUGCGUAGAUAUCAGGAGGAACACCUGCGGUGUAGACGGCUUUCUGGACCAUCACUGACGCUGAGACACGAAGGCGUGGGUAGCAAACAGG
rnacentral:rRNA from 1 species